UCAAGCGCGAAAAGGGCGUUUGGUGGAUGCCUUGGCAGUAAGAGGCGAUGAAAGACGUGAUACUCUGCGAUAAGCCAUGGGGAGCUGAGAAUAAGCUUUGAUCCAUGGAUUUCUGAAUGGGGCAACCCACCUGAAUGUUUGUUAUUGUUACCCUUUUGGGUGUCAAUAAUGAGCAUAAACAGGUACUUAUUACCUGAAUACAUAGGGUUUUAAGAGCAAACCCGGGGAACUGAAACAUCUAAGUACCCGGAGGAAAGGAAAUCAAUUAGAGACUCUGUUAGUAGCGGCGAGCGAACGCGGACCAGCCAAGCCUGAUAAGUGACCAGAAUGACCUGGAAAGGUCAGCCAUAGUGGGUGACAGCCCCGUAUGGGAAGCUUUGAAGGAUGUAUUAAGUAGGGCGGGACACGUGAAAUCCUGUUUGAAGAUCGGGGGACCACCCCCGAAGGCUAAGUACUCCUUACUGACCGAUAGCGAACCAGUACCGUGAGGGAAAGGUGAAAAGCACCCCGACGAGGGGAGUGAAACAGUUUCUGAAACCGGACGCCUACAAUCAGUUGGAGGGCCCUUGCGGCCUGACAGCGUACCUUUUGUAUAAUGGGUCAUCGACUUAGUGUAUCUAGCAAGCUUAAGCCGUUAGGUGUAGGCGCAGCGAAAGCGAGUCUUAAUAGGGCGAUUGAGUUAGAUGCAUUAGACCCGAAACCGAGUGAUCUAGGCAUGACCAGGUUGAAGGUUGGGUAACACCAACUGGAGGACCGAACCCACAUCUGUUGAAAAAGAUCGGGAUGAGUUGUGCCUAGGGGUGAAAGGCCAAUCAAACUCGGAGAUAGCUGGUUCUCCGCGAAAUCUAUUUAGGUAGAGCGUCAUCCGAAUACCCCGGGGGGUAGAGCACUGGAUGGGUAAUGGGGCCCCACAGGCUUACUGAUCCUAACCAAACUCCGAAUACCCGGGAGUAAUAGAUGGCAGACACACUGCGGGUGCUAACGCCCGUAGUGAAAAGGGAAACAACCCUGACCGACAGUUAAGGCCCCUAAUUCAUGGCUAAGUGGGAAAGCAGGUGGGACGACCAAAACAACCAGGAAGUUGGCUUAGAAGCAGCCAUCUUUUAAAGAUAGCGUAACAGCUCACUGGUCUAAUUAAGUUGUCCUGCGGCGAAGAUGUAACGGGGCUCAAGCCAUGAGCCGAAACUUCGGAUGCAUUUAAUGCAUGGUAGCGGAGCGUAGUGUGACAUAGUUUCCUGUCUCUUUUGAUCCCUUUGGGGUCAUGGGAGACGCGAAGCUUUCUGUGAAGCCGGGCUGUAAGGCAUCCGGUGGAGAGAUCACUAGUGAGAAUGAUGACAUGAGUAGCGACAAAGAGUGUGAGAGACACUCUCGCCGAAAGUCCAAGGGUUCCUGCUUAAAGCUAAUCUGAGCAGGGUAAGCCGACCCCUAAGGCGAGGCCGAAAGGCGUAGUCGAUGGGAACCAGUUUAAUAUUACUGGGCCAGGAGAUGGUGACGGAUCGAAAGCGUAGUGACUCCUUAUCGGAUUGAAGUUGCUGCCGGACGGUUCCUGGAAAUAGCCCUCCAUUAGAUCGUACCCUAAACCAACACAGGUGGACUGGUAGAGAAUACCAAGGCGCUUGAGAGAACUACAUUGAAGGAACUCGGCAAAAUGCCUCCGUAAGUUCGCGAGAAGGAGGCCCCAUCAGAAGGCAACUUUUGGUGGGGGGCACAGACCAGGGGGUGGCGACUGUUUACUAAAAACACAGGGCUCUGCGAAGUCGCAAGACGACGUAUAGGGUCUGACGCCUGCCCGGUGCCGGAAGGUUAAAAGGAGGGGUGAGAGCUCUGAAUUGAAGCCCCGGUAAACGGCGGCCGUAACUAUAACGGUCCUAAGGUAGCGAAAUUCCUUGUCGGGU
rnacentral:rRNA from 1 species